rnacentral:SRP_RNA from 17 species
UUCGGCACUGGGAGCUGGGCGUCUUUCUGGCCCCUCGGACACUGGGAGUCGAUGCCAUGGGAUCCAUCGUCCGGAGGGAAGGCGACAACCCCCCCAGAGACGCAAACCGGGC